GAGCGAAGAAGUAUUUCGGUAUGUAAAGCUCUAUCAGCAGGGAAGAAAAUGACGGUACCUGACUAAGAAGCACCGGCUAAAUACGUGCCAGCAGCCGCGGUAAUACGUAUGGUGCAAGCGUUAUCCGGAUUUACUGGGUGUAAAGGGAGCGUAGACGGAUGGGCAAGUCUGAUGUGAAAACCCGGGGCUCAACCCCGGGACUGCAUUGGAAACUGUUCAUCUAGAGUGCUGGAGAGGUAAGUGGAAUUCCUAGUGUAGCGGUGAAAUGCGUAGAUAUUAGGAGGAACACCAGUGGCGAAGGCGG
rnacentral:rRNA from 1 species